rnacentral:rRNA from 1 species
GGGGGGGGGGGUUGGUCCGGAAUUAUUGGGGCGUAAAGGGCUCGCAGGCGGUUUCUUAAGUCUGAUGUGAAAGCCCCCGGCUCAACCGGGGAGGGUCAUUGGAAACUGGGGAACUUGAGUGCAGAAAGAGGAGAAGUGGAAAUUCCAACGUGUAGCGGUGAAAAUGCGUAGAGAAUGUGGAGGAACACCAGUGGCGAAGGCGACUACUCUGGUCUGUAACUGACGCUGAGGAGCGAAAGCGUGGGGAGCGAACAGGAUUAGAUACCCUGGUAGUCCACGCCGUAAACGAUGAGUGCUAAGUGUUAGGGGGUUUCCGCCCCUUAGUGCUGCAGCUAACGCAUUAAGCACUCCGCCUGGGGAGUACGGUCGCAAGACUGAAACUCAAGAAAAUUUGACGGAAG